rnacentral:misc_RNA from 1 species
AGCAGUUUUAGCAGCAGUGUAAACAAACCCCACAAAACAAAUGACGUGAGAUGGGAAGCUAUCCAAGCUGUCCGAUCUAAAGAUGGUAGCUUAGGUUUGAGCCAUUUCAGACUACUGAAAAGGUUGGGCUGUGGAGAUAUUGGAAGUGUUUACUUGGCUGAACUGAGUGGAACCAAGUGUUACUUUGCUAUGAAAGUCAUGGAUAAAGCAUCUUUAGCCAGCCGCAAGAAGCUUCUUCGUGCUCAGACAGAGAGAGAAAUUUUAUCAUCCCUUGAUCAUCCUUUUCUUCCCUCUCUCUACAGCCACUUUGAGACUGAUAAGUUUUCAUGUUUGGUUAUGGAAUUCUGUCCUGGAGGGGAUCUGCAUACUCUUAGGCAGAGACAGCCAGGGAAACAUUUUUCUGAACAAGCAGUGAAAUUUUAUGUCGCUGAGGUCCUUCUGGCUUUAGAGUAUCUCCAUAUGCUUGGUAUUAUCUACCGCGACCUCAAACCUGAGAAUGUCCUUGUUAGAGAAGAUGGACAUAUAAUGCUUUCAGACUUUGACCUGUCACUUUGCUGUUCUUUUAGCCCAACACUGGUGAAGACAUCUUCCCUGGAGUUGGAGCCUCUCAAGAAGAACUCUGGAUACUGUGUCCAGCCGGCAUGCAUUGAGCCUUCCUGCAUUCAACCAUCAUGUGUCGUUCCUACAACAUGCUUCUCUCGCCGCAUCUUUUCCAGCAAGUCCAAGAAGGAUCGGAAACCCAAAAAUGACGUAGGUAACCAAGUUAGGCCAUUACCAGAGCUCAUGGCAGAACCUACUAGUGCUCGCUCUAUGUCAUUUGUGGGAACUCAUGAAUACUUGGCACCAGAGAUUAUCAAAG